rnacentral:tRNA from 1 species
GCAUUGGUGGUUCAGUGGUAGAACUCUGCCUUCCAUGCCAGAGACCCGGGUUCAAUUCCCAGCCAGUGCA